AGAGCGAACGCUGGCGGCAGGCCUAACACAUGCAAGUCGAGCGCGUGUAGCAAUACACGAGCGGCAGACGGGAGAGUAACACGUGGGAACGCGCCCUUCGGUUCGGAAUAACUCAGGGAAACUUGAGCUAAUACCGGAUACGCCCUUACGGGGAAAGAUUUAUUGCCGAAGGAACGGCCCGCGUCCGAUUAGCUAGUUGGUGAGGUAACGGCUCACCAAGGCGACGAUCGGUAGCUGGUCUGAGAGGAUGACCAGCCUCACUGGGACUGAGACACGGUCCAGACUCCUACGGGAGGCAGCAGUGGGGAAUCUUGCACAAUGGGCGGAAGCCUGAUGCAGCGACGCCGCGUGGGGGAUGAAGCUUUUCGGAGUGUAAACCCCUUUCGACCCGGACGAAUGCCCCGCAAGGGGACUGACGGUACGGGUAUAAGAAGCCCCGGCUAACUACGUGCCAGCAGCCGC
rnacentral:rRNA from 1 species